rnacentral:lncRNA from 1 species
AACUUAUAAGUAUAAACAAAUCCUAGAAACGUUGCUAUGAGUUUGAAUAGUUUAGAAUAGAAUAUCGUCUUGUGAAAGAAAAAUAAUUUGAAAUUGUUACCUGGAUUGUCAGCGACGAAUCGGAUAACUGCCCAUCCAUUCGCAGGCACUGCCACUGUGUUCCUCAUAGGUGGAUCAACAAGGUUGAACUUUUUGGUAUCGGUCUUGGCAUUGAAAUUUCCAAAACCUUCGGCAAGGAUGUAAAAAUCGUAUCCGUGAAGAUGGAUAGGAUGGUUUUCGGGUGUGACGAUGCUUGUGUCCUGCAGCACAACCUGCACCCUUGAUCCAUACUUCAAGUUGUAUCCUCUAGUGCCCGACAAAGGCUGCCAUAGAGAACUGCUCACAUUGCCCGUGUAGUCGAAUUUCUUCGGAGGGUUUGCUGGAAAAUCAUUGGUGAAAACUCCAGGGAUGUUUUGUUGGUAAGCCUGAAGGAUUGACAUGUUAUUUGGAAGCACGAAGGACACAUUGUUCAUGCUGGCAGUGAAGCGUGUCCCGUUUGGGCCUUGGCACCUUCUGGCUCUGAAAUGUUUAGGGCAAUUGUUGAGUCCAAGACCGAUAGUGAAGAAGAGGUUUUCGUCGAUUUCAGUUGGGACUUCAACUUUUCUUGGACUUCUGAAACUCUUGGUGAAAGCAGAAGCAGUGUUUGUGUCAUUGAAAGCAGGGAGUUGUGGCAUAAUCGGUUUAGCUGUUGGACCGUUUUUGCAACUAGGGCUGCAAGGGGCAGACUUGUAUUCAAGAAUGGCGGUGGUGGUGGUGUUGCCGAAUGCUGCAUUUUGCGCGCUGAAAUAAGCACUUGCCGCCAAGUAGUACCGGGCCGGUGGCUGGUCACCCGUGAUUAAAACAUCGGUGGUCUGCCCAGGGCCUAGCAUGAGUACCGUGGUAGUGAAAGGUUUGGUAUAGGAGGCAUCAGCACUAACAACAGUGAGUUUGUGGUUGGCCACAGAGAAGAAAAGAGGUUGGUUGAGGCCAGCAUUGAUGACUCUAAGAAGGUUGGUCUCGCCGGAGUCUAUAGGAACUAUGACAGUGUCUGCAAAAAUCACAAUAAAAAUUUAUCAAUUCAUAAGUGGUACAUACGACUUACUUAUUACAUCAAUUAUUAGGGUCAGUUUAACUUAGUUGAUUAUUGCACGUAAAACUUUUAUUGUGGAAUUACCUUUGCUUGAGCAAUUGUAAAGAUCACCAGGUUGACCAUUGAUGGUGUAUGCAUCAGAAACAUUUGGAGCUCCUCCUGUCCUAGUAGCCUGCCUUAUAACAUCGAUAGGGUUAGCGUCCCACCAUUCACCGAGAAGAAGGGUUGUUUCGCGUUUCGGUUUAGUGAAGGGGUAGGAGUCUCCUUGUUUAGGAUGAAUGAUGAGUGCGCCGUAAACGGUGGCUCUAAGCCAUGAGCUGUGAGCAUGCCACCAGAGAGUACCUUCUUGCCCUUGAAUUGUAAAUCGGUAGGUAUAGCUUCCUCCUGGCCUAAUCGGGCACUGAGUCACAAAUUCAGGCCCAUCUGCCCAUCCAGUUCUAAUCUGCCUAAUCCCAUGCCUGAAAUGAAGAAGAUAAGGCAUGUUGAUUAAUUUCUUCGGAGAAAUGAAGAAGAUAAAGAUUCUCUUGCGAGCCUUUCUGACAACAUAAGAAGCAUGAGAGUAAAAACUCGUAUUCAUGUGCAUGCACGCAGGCGUGUUAGUUACCAGUGAAUAGUGACAUUGUAUCGAGCUUUGUUUGUAACUUUGAUGAAAAGAGUGUCACCAUUGUUUGCUUCCAAGGUUGGUCCAGGGUACUGUCCAUUUACUGUGAUGGAGUUGUGGGUUUUGCACAGCCUCUUCACUUUAGUUGCUUGAAUCUGUAUUCCAUUUAAAUAUUAAAUAUAGUGAGAAAUGAGUACGUAAGAAGAAGAAACGUACGUGAAAUACAAGAGAUGUAAAAAUUAAACUUACAACAAACUCAUGCUGGUGAGUUUUGGGCUCUGCCGAACACAUUGUCGAUGAAGCCAAUAGAAGGCAAAGGCCGAAAAGGCAUAAGGAGAGUCGGAUUUUGUUGCUGAAAAUGGCGUUGAGUGCCUCCAUCUCGAUGGAUUAGCUAGGCUAUGAGCUCGCUGAUGAACCCUUAACCUUUGAAUGAUCGAGAGAAUGUGGUAGUUUGAGGUGAUAAAGUGGGGGGAUGCUUUUAUAGUAAAACUUUGAGGAGAGAGGCUGGCAGAUUAGGUUUUGAUUCAAAAAAUGGUCAGAGCCUUGAGCAAACUUACUUCAACCCGGUAAGAGUUGUUGCACCCACUGGCCUAUCUCUAAUGCAUUAUGUCUCAAUGCAGCUUGCUUCUCAAGUCUUCUUUCUGGGAUUGAAUAAUUCAAUAAGAGUAAUAUUAGAGAGAUUAAAUUUGUAGAUAAAGUUUUGAAAACUAAAGGAUAUGGAAGUUGAUGAUUGAUUUAUUAUUUACACGUUGAUAAACAUGUUUAUUCUUAUUGGUGACAUGUUAUUUAGUUUACAAAUUUAAUUAGUCUUUCAAAUUUGAUCUCCCUAACAUUACCCAUUAAUAUUGGUUUUUUUUUUCAUAUAUGUUAAUGCAACUAGAAAAAGCGUAAAGUUAAUCCUACUUUUUUCCCCAAACGUAAGGACAAUCGUAAUGAUGAAGAAGACCAAAAUUAAAUUAGAAACAUACUUAUAAGUCAAACCCAUUGUUCUAAUCAACCUUAAACCCUCAAGCAAUCCUUUGAUAAAACGACAUUAGUAUAGUGAUUUUAUGUGGCAUCACGCAAAUGGAGCUAGCACUCAGAUUCAAGCACAUAAUGAAUCAUUAUGCUGAACACAUGAUGAAUCAAGAUAAUUAAAUCGAUAUUUUUGGUCUCUCCUUUGGCUAGCUAAAAUUAUUUUCGUUUCUAAAAAGGUAAGGUUUAUGUUUCCUUUCUAUUUUCAAGCAUUUUUUAAAUUUUUUUUCUUUUAAUAUGAAUGGUUAGGUUUAUUUACUAAAUAACAUCGAGGUUUUCUGAAAAAAAAAACGAUGGAGGUUAGAAGAAUCAAGAGGGAAAGAGUUUACCGACUAAAAAUAUUUGCAUGAAUUCGUCAAACCAGCUUUUUCCUUCCUAAUGUGGUAUGGGAAAUCAAUAAGCAAUCUGCCUAAAGUCCAUGCUUUAGAGAAAAGUGGAAAAGUAAAUUAGCUUGAGAAAACUAAGUCGGAAAUAUGGUUGUUCUUUUCAUUGUUUUCAAAUAUUAAUUUUUCAUAAAAAUUACAGUUUACCCAUGUUUCAUUUGAUGAUGAUGUUGUGAUAUAAUAGGUUUUGUCAUAUUUUAUCAUUUCAUAAAUAUAUGAAUUAUUAUGCUCACGUUUGUUAAAAGGGAGUUUUAACGAACCAUAGAUUCAAUCGAAAUCAAAACCUCAAGUAAGGUUACUUAAUAAACUCAUCAUAAAAUCAACAUUCAGAAGUAAUUAAUUGAAUUAAUUAUAUUUUUCAAUAUCUAUGAUUACACUAACACCACAAAAAAAAAAAUGUUAAAGAAAUUAAAAAGCCCACAAAGCCACAAUGAGGUUGUACUAGGUCACGAUCGAUGAUAAAUUAGUUGGUUAGCUACAACAAGAAGAGAUGAUCGAGUGCAGGGAAUUUGAGCUAGGGUUUAUUAAUUUAUUAUUAGUUAAUUAAUGUUAAAAGUGGACCACACAGGAUCAAAUCUCAAGUUUGCCGUUAAUUUGAUAGGAAAGAUGAGUAGAUUAAGUCAUCUCUCUACAAUUAGGUGGCAUAUGUUGCAUGCGUUACAAUACAUCAAGAUUUGAUUGGGUCUAACAAAAAUUCAGUUAGAGUGAUGGAUACUUAAACAGAAAAUUUAAUAUAUAUUUACAAGAAUUCUGUUUAAAUUAGGUAGCCUAUCACACAGCAGAACGCGCGCAGGGAAGGUAUUAUCCAUGUAAUUAAUGUUUGUAUUAGGUUUUGUAGCUAUAUACGAAGAGAAUGAAAGGUCAAAGACCAGCUAGUGGCUUUGCCAUGGCGUCCACGCUUCCAAUGGCCGGAAAAACUCACAAAGGCAUUUCAGCUACCUCCUGGCCACCAUUGCGUGAUUCACCAACGCUAAAAAUCGAACACAAGACAUGCCAUGUGAAACAAAAUUUAGAGGAAGCUAGGAAGUGGCAUCUUAUAUUAUGUAAUGUUAAUUGAUAAUUAGGGUUUGUCUAUUAGCCAAGAUUGGAACCAUAGCGCAUCUCAAAAUGAGAAGAUAUAGAGCAACGCCUAGUUUAGCUACAAAAUUUUGAUUUGUUUUGUUAACCUUAGUGCUUUUGUAGGCAAAAAUGAAGACGUACGAAGAUUAUUUGUCCUAUCAUUGAUUGUAUCGAGACGUAAGAAUAUCUACCUUAUCAUUGAUUGUAUACAUAUUUGUGACUGUGAGUCCAUCUCUCUUAUUUACCAAUCGAUUGGUUGAUAUAGUAUAUGUAUUAAUACUUGUUAAUAGAAAGAAAAAAAAAACUAUGGUAUAGCUAUUGGUUUGAUCCCAAAUUAGGAAGCCUUAAUGUUGUUUUGUUGUAUUGUAUGGUUGGUUAUGUUACUUUGUAUUAAUGUACAUCAUUUUCUCAAACCAAAUAGAAGCCACAACAUACAUGAUGGAGGCCUUAUCGACCAUAAAACUUACGUACUCUGCAAUGUUAGACAAAUGUUUAUCCUACACUCAUCAUUAUGUGACGUGCAAUUGGUCAACUGAUGAGUUUUACACCAAAUCACAUGAAAUAUAAGUGUUGUAGAAACCCUAAUGAACUAGUCACUCUCUUACAGAUAAGUUGUCCCUUUACCGGCAUAAGUGUUCAAAGAAGUACAACAGUACAUGCAAAGUUUAAGUGAUAAUUAGAUUGACAAAGCCAAACAGACCAGCUGAUUACCUAAUUACAGGCAGACAGAUGGUGACAAUUCUGUUAGUCAUUUUGAAUGGAAGCAUGUCAGUGAUGUGUACACACCAGAAACUAGAUCAGAGAGCGAAAUAAAGAAUGGGGGGAGGUGUUGGAUUGGAUAGGUGAACAAAUAGCAAUUAACAUAUAGUUGGUAGAGUUUGUUAUUGACUUCUAUUUUCAGAAUCUUCAGUUGACAUCGGAAGUGCAAUCGGAAGUCGUUAUGAAGGAUGCAAAUACUUACAAUAAAAAUUGAUUCACAAUUUAAUUAUACUAGCCUCUUGCACGCAAGCUCUUUUACAUCUUUUUUUUUUUUUUUAAAUAUUUAAGAAAUAAAGGAAAUAAAACUGCCUCUCCAUGGAGCUUGUGACAAUUUUUUUUUUUACAUCUUAUUCUCUACCUGCUUGUAAUUUUUAUUCUUUCUAUUUGUUAAAAAUAUUUUUAAAAAGUAAAGAAAUAAAGGAAAAAUAACUACCUACUACGUAAGUAGUUUUGUUUUGUUAGUUUGUAUUUUUUUUAAAUUAAAUUGUUUCAUUUUAAAAUCCUAAUUAGGAGAGAUAAUUUUGGGGAUUGUGAAUAAUUCAUUAUUUUUCCUUUACUUUAUAUAUACUAGCAUAUGUGACACAUCCCCGCCCGGGCAGGACCACUUCCUGAGCCCGACUCCAUCGUAGCACGAUAUUGUCCGAUUUGGGCCCCGACCACGUCCUCAAGGUUUUGUUUUUGGGAACUCACGCAAGAACUUCACAGUGGGUCACCCAUCAUGGGAUUGCUAUCGCGCGAACUCGCUUAACUUCGGAGUUCCGAUGGAACCCAAAGCCAGUGAGCUCCCAAAAGACCUCGUGCUAGGUAGAGAUGAGAAUAUACAUAUAAGGCUUACAAGAUCCACUCUCUUGGGCGAUGUGGGAUGUUACAAUCCACCCCCCUUAGGAGCCCGAUGUCCUCAUUGGCACACUUCCGGCCAGGGAUUGGCUCUGAUACCAAAUUGACACAUCCCGCCCGGGCAGGACCACAUCCCGCCCGGGCAGGACCACUUCCCGGGCUCGACUCCACCGUAGCACGAUAUUGUCCAUUUUGUACCCUGACCACGCCCUCACGGUUUUAUUUCUGGGAACUCACACGAGAACUUCCCAUUAGGUCACCCAUCAUGGGAUUGUUUUCGCGCGAACUCGCUUAACUUCGGAGUUCUGAUGGAACCCGAAGCCAGUGAGCUCCCAAAAAGCCUCGUGCUAGGUAGAGAUGAGAAUAUACAUAUAAGACUUACAUGAUCCAUUCCCUUGGGCGAUGUGAGAUGUUACAAUCUUCAUUUAUCACAAGAGCCUUAAGUAUAUCUUCAAUCAGCCAAACCUCAAUCUCUGGCAGCGGAAGUGGGUAGAGUUAUUCAGUGAUUAUGACUGCACCAUUGAGUAUCACCCAGGUCGUGCCAAUUCGGUGGCUAAUGCUCUUAGUAGGAAGUCUCAUGGCCAACUUAAUGCUGUUUAUGCUAGUCGCAUUCCUCUUUUGACUGACCUAAGAUCCACUGGAGUAGCUUUGAAAGAGGGUCGUCGGGGGGCCCUAAUUGCCAGUUUUCAGGUCAGGCUGGUUCUGUUGGAUCGUGUUCUCGAAGCCCAGAGAAAUGAUACAAAAUCUCAGGAAUUGAUACAAGCAAUGUCAGACGGGAAAAAGAAGGACCUCUGGAUUAGAGAUCCUGACGGCAUGCUUAUGCAAGGUGAACGGAUGUAUGUACCGAAUGUUAAGGAACUGAAGAGAGACAUAUUAGACGAAGCGCAUAUUUCUGCUUAUGCGAUGCAUCCAAUGAGCACCAAGAUGUACCAUACCAUCCGACACUUCUAUUAUUAGCCAGGUAUGAAAAGAGAGAUUGCAAAGUAUGUUAGCCGUUAUGCAAUUUGCCAGCAGGUUAAGGCAGAAAGGAAAAGGCUAUUUGGAUUGCUACAACCACUUCCGAUACCUCAGUGGAAAUGGGAAGAUAUUACAAUGGAUUUUGUGUACAAAUUACCUCGUACGCGAAAUGGUUACGAUGGUAUCUGGGUGGUAGUUGAUCGGCUUACCAAGUCAGUGCACUUCAUACUCGUUCGUGAAAUUUUCUCGUUAAGUCAGUUGGCCGAACGGUUCGUCUCUGACUGGUUAGGUACCACGGAGUUCCAGUUAAUAUCAUUUCUGACGGAGACCCUCGAUUUACUUCGAAGUUCUGGGUAGCUUUUCAGGAAGCUUUGGGAUCGAGACUACUCUACAGCACCGCCUAUCAUCCUCAAACAAAUGGGCAGUCAGAGAGAACUAUCCAGACCUUGGAAGAUAUGUUGAGAUCAUUAGUUCUACAGUUUGGAGACGCUUGGCAUAAACGCUUACCGUUGAUAGAGUUCACAUACAACAACAACUUCCAUUCUAGUAUUAGUAUGGCACCGUUUGAAGCGUUGUAUGGGAAACCGUGUUGUACUCCACUUUGUUGGUCCGAGGUCGGUGAGCGAGUUUUGGUGGGCCCUGAGAUCGUAGAUGAGACGACAAAAAAUAUUCAGGUGAUAAAGGCUAACCUGAAAGUGGCCUAGGAUCUGCAGAAGAGUCUCACGGACAGACAUUCUACCGAUAAAGUUUAUGAGGUUGGUGAUUGGGUAUUCUUGAAAUUAUCGCCGUGGAAAGGUGUUGUGAGAUUUGGAAAGAAAUGGAAGCUCAGCCCUAGGUACAUCGGACUGUACUAGAUCGUUGAACGAGUCGGUGAAGUUGCUUAUCGACUUGCUUUGCCACCAAAGUUGUCAAGAGUGCACAAUGUGCUUUAUGUAUCAAUGUUACGAAGGUACGUUUCUGAUCCGUCACACGUAAUCCCUCCUCAACCACUGGAGAUCAAUCUAGAUUUUACCUAUGAUGAGGUUCCAGUGACUAUCCUUGAUUGGAAAUAUCAGGUUCUUAGGAACAAGACCGUGCGGAUGGUGAAGGUUUUGUGGAGGAACCACUCGGUGAAGGAAGCCACUUGGGAGACAGAAGAGCGUAUGCGAGAUAUGUAUCCACAUCUAUUNNNNNNNNNNNNNNNNNNNNNNNNNNNNNNNNNNNNNNNNNNNNNNNNNNNNNNNNNNNNNNNNNNNNNNNNNNNNNNNNNNNNNNNNNNNNNNNNNNNNNNNNNNNNNNNNNNNNNNNNNNNNNNNNNNNNNNNNNNNNNNNNNNNNNNNNNNNNNNNNNNNNNNNNNNNNNNNNNNNNNNNNNNNNNNNNNNNNNNNNNNNNNNNNNNNNNNNNNNNNNNNNNNNNNNNNNNNNNNNNNNNNNNNNNNNNNNNNNNNNNNNNNNNNNNNNNNNNNNNNNNNNNNNNNNNNNNNNNNNNNNNNNNNNNNNNNNNNNNNNNNNNNNNNNNNNNNNNNNNNNNNNNNNNNNNNNNNNNNNNNNNNNNNNNNNNNNNNNNNNNNNNNNNNNNNNNNNNNNNNNNNNNNNNNNNNNNNNNNNNNNNNNNNNNNNNNNNNNNNNNNNNNNNNNNNNNNNNNNNNNNNNNNNNNNNNNNNNNNNNNNNNNNNNNNNNNNNNNNNNUGGGCCCCGACCACGUCCUCAAGGUUUUGUUUUUGGGAACUCACGCAAGAACUUCACAGUGGGUCACCCAUCAUGGGAUUGCUAUCGCGCGAACUCGCUUAACUUCGGAGUUCCGAUGGAACCCAAAGCCAGUGAGCUCCCAAAAGACCUCGUGCUAGGUAGAGAUGAGAAUAUACAUAUAAGGCUUACAAGAUCCACUCUCUUGGGCGAUGUGGGAUGUUACAAUCCACCCCCCUUAGGAGCCCGAUGUCCUCAUUGGCACACUUCCGGCCAGGGAUUGGCUCUGAUACCAAAUUGACACAUCCCGCCCGGGCAGGACCACAUCCCGCCCGGGCAGGACCACUUCCCGGGCUCGACUCCACCGUAGCACGAUAUUGUCCAUUUUGUACCCUGACCACGCCCUCACGGUUUUAUUUCUGGGAACUCACACACGAGAACUUCCCAUUAGGUCACCCAUCAUGGGAUUGUUUUCGCGCGAACUCGCUUAACUUCGGAGUUCUGAUGGAACCCGAAGCCAGUGAGCUCCCAAAAAGCCUCGUGCUAGGUAGAGAUGAGAAUAUACAUAUAAGACUUACAUGAUCCAUUCCCUUGGGCGAUGUGAGAUGUUACAAUCUUCAUUUAUCACAAGAGCCUUAAGUAUAUCUUCAAUCAGCCAAACCUCAAUCUCUGGCAGCGGAAGUGGGUAGAGUUAUUCAGUGAUUAUGACUGCACCAUUGAGUAUCACCCAGGUCGUGCCAAUUCGGUGGCUAAUGCUCUUAGUAGGAAGUCUCAUGGCCAACUUAAUGCUGUUUAUGCUAGUCGCAUUCCUCUUUUGACUGACCUAAGAUCCACUGGAGUAGCUUUGAAAGAGGGUCGUCGGGGGCCCUAAUUGCCAGUUUUCAGGUCAGGCUGGUUCUGUUGGAUCGUGUUCUCGAAGCCCAGAGAAAUGAUACAAAAUCUCAGGAAUUGAUACAAGCAAUGUCAGACGGGAAAAAGAAGGACCUCUGGAUUAGAGAUCCUGACGGCAUGCUUAUGCAAGGUGAACGGAUGUAUGUACCGAAUGUUAAGGAACUGAAGAGAGACAUAUUAGACGAAGCGCAUAUUUCUGCUUAUGCGAUGCAUCCAAUGAGCACCAAGAUGUACCAUACCAUCCGACACUUCUAUUAUUAGCCAGGUAUGAAAAGAGAGAUUGCAAAGUAUGUUAGCCGUUAUGCAAUUUGCCAGCAGGUUAAGGCAGAAAGGAAAAGGCUAUUUGGAUUGCUACAACCACUUCCGAUACCUCAGUGGAAAUGGGAAGAUAUUACAAUGGAUUUUGUGUACAAAUUACCUCGUACGCGAAAUGGUUACGAUGGUAUCUGGGUGGUAGUUGAUCGGCUUACCAAGUCAGUGCACUUCAUACUCGUUCGUGAAAUUUUCUCGUUAAGUCAGUUGGCCGAACGGUUCGUCUCUGACUGGUUAGGUACCACGGAGUUCCAGUUAAUAUCAUUUCUGACGGAGACCCUCGAUUUACUUCGAAGUUCUGGGUAGCUUUUCAGGAAGCUUUGGGAUCGAGACUACUCUACAGCACCGCCUAUCAUCCUCAAACAAAUGGGCAGUCAGAGAGAACUAUCCAGACCUUGGAAGAUAUGUUGAGAUCAUUAGUUCUACAGUUUGGAGACGCUUGGCAUAAACGCUUACCGUUGAUAGAGUUCACAUACAACAACAACUUCCAUUCUAGUAUUAGUAUGGCACCGUUUGAAGCGUUGUAUGGGAAACCGUGUUGUACUCCACUUUGUUGGUCCGAGGUCGGUGAGCGAGUUUUGGUGGGCCCUGAGAUCGUAGAUGAGACGACAAAAAAUAUUCAGGUGAUAAAGGCUAACCUGAAAGUGGCCUAGGAUCUGCAGAAGAGUCUCACGGACAGACAUUCUACCGAUAAAGUUUAUGAGGUUGGUGAUUGGGUAUUCUUGAAAUUAUCGCCGUGGAAAGGUGUUGUGAGAUUUGGAAAGAAAUGGAAGCUCAGCCCUAGGUACAUCGGACUGUACUAGAUCGUUGAACGAGUCGGUGAAGUUGCUUAUCGACUUGCUUUGCCACCAAAGUUGUCAAGAGUGCACAAUGUGCUUUAUGUAUCAAUGUUACGAAGGUACGUUUCUGAUCCGUCACACGUAAUCCCUCCUCAACCACUGGAGAUCAAUCUAGAUUUUACCUAUGAUGAGGUUCCAGUGACUAUCCUUGAUUGGAAAUAUCAGGUUCUUAGGAACAAGACCGUGCGGAUGGUGAAGGUUUUGUGGAGGAACCACUCGGUGAAGGAAGCCACUUGGGAGACAGAAGAGCGUAUGCGAGAUAUGUAUCCACAUCUAUUUUAUGGCUUUGAUUUGUAGUCCAUGUUGAAAUUUCGGGGACGAAAUUUUUAUAAGGGGGGUAGAUUGUGACGACCCGUCGCUAAUUUUCAUAUGUAAUUUCUCCAUGAAUAUGUAAUUUGACGGUUAUACCCUUAGUGGCAAGUGACGUGGACACGUUUAUUUCCCUUAAAUUAUUUAUUUCCUCAUAUCACAUUUAAAUUGUGCACACUAGUACAAGUCGGCGUAGAUCUUAAAGUGUAAAAAUAUCUACUUUGGAUACAUUUCGAUUUCCUUUUAUUGUAGGAAAUCUGAAAUCUUAUCCUUUGAAUUCUUUUUUUUAUCCUACCCGUGCACCCCCCAUCAUUCACUCACCCAUCACCCUUUCACCAAUCCCAUCUCUCCCUCUCACCAAUCCCAUCUCUCCCUCAUUUCUGUCAUCCAAUCAGAAAAAGGAAAAAAAAAGAACUCUCUUUCUAUUCUCUUUUUCCCUCCCGUAUACUCCCUCUUCUCUGCAACACCAUGAACGAGCUUCAAAGCUCGUAGAUUGAACUCACAAACUACACCAUCAUCCUCAUCUCUACCCCUAAGAACUCAACCAUACCCCUGGUUCACAUGUUGAUUGAGUUUUGGUCAUCCAACUCGAAAGGUUCGACUGGAUGAGUUCGAUAUAUCGAUUUUCAGGCCAUUCACGGCUUAGGUAAGCCUCGAGAAACCCUUAGAACCUUCAUUUCAAUUCUAUGGGUUGAUAUUGAUCCUUGUUUGUGUUUUGAACGUUUGGUUUUACCCAAAAAACUCGAGAAGAAGAAGGUGCACAUUUUUUUUCAAUCAAGAACCAUGACCAUUUGGUCACUUUCAACCCAUUUUUCCAGUUAACCUCGACCACAGCUGGACUCCUAUUAGGUACAAACUUGUUCUCUACAUUCCUAACUUCAAAAUGACUUUUGAAUCACUGAGUUUGAUCAAGUAACGAGUUAGAAAUCAACUCUAGAAGUUAGGAAGAAAAUUCCAGUUUUCUGGAAAUCUGCAACCAUGGUCAUUUGGCCACUUUCAGGCCAAAUUUAUGAAUAACACGACUGUAUUCAAACUUUCUAUGAAUUAGGAUUGAUACAUCACAUUCCUAGCUUUAAUUUGGCUUUUGUAGAAGUGUUUUUUGUUAAGAAUCGAGCUCGUUAUGAGCUCUGAAAGUUGGCUAAAAAAUCUGCAAAACUGCAGAAAAUCACGAGGAAGGCGAGUACGCCUGUACUCGCAGGCGCGCGUGGGGCGCAUGUGGGCAUUUUGUGAAACCCCUUUGGGCGGCGUGUGGUUGACACGUGUGUCUUCGUGUCGUAGAGUAGAUCGAUUUCACAUAUUUAAACCCUAGGUUUGAGCAAAACUAUAGGGGUUUUAUUUAGGUUUCCAUUAUGUGCUUUAAUUAAUGUUAUUUUAGUUAUUUCACAUAUAAGGAAAACUUAUCCCGAGGAUUUACGAGGCCAAGCUAGGCUCGGGGACUACGACCCAGCAGUGUACUUGUGAGUGGGCAUUUUGUUUUUAUACCUAUACAUAUUAUAGUUUCCAUAAAUGCGUAUUUACUUCAUUUCUUACGCUUAUAUUGCCAAGUAUCGUUAUUAUGUUAUUAAUUGUGAUAAAUGCUGCUAUAUGGUUGGGAUAUUACUGUCAUGACAUUCAUAUAUAUAAUUGUACAUGCUCAUCUUGCUGCACUGGUGUUAGUACUCGCCUAGGGCCAGAUCCAUUCCUUCAUGUGUAUGUUCACAUCGCACUGUUCGUUCGCUUUGGAUCCAAGUUAGGUGCCAGUCAUGUCGGGUAGAUUGCAUUAGGCAAUCCGACUUGUAUGUGAUGUGCUUCUACACCAGUCUUCACGUGAUCGUAAUACUAGAGCGUAUUGAUUACAUCCAGUCAUGUUCGUGUCAGAAAUUAUUUGUUCGAACUUGUUAAUGUCAGCUUAGAUGGAUGAGCACUUAGCUAUACUUGAUUAUCACAUGAUUGAUUACAUCAUUAGUUGGCAUAUUCCUGGUUAUUAUACUGCUAUAAUGUUAUCGAAUUAUUGUUUAUAUACCCGAGUAGUAUGUUUUAAGGAAACUAUACUUGUUUUAUGGCAAGGGUUUAGUAUUUUUCAAGGUUAAAGGUUUUUCUUAUAAGCAUUGUUUUGCGGACCCACACAACUUUGUUUUUUGCCCCUUCAGGACCUAGAUAGUUGUACUCUUUGUGGCACUCAAGGAAUCUCGGCAGUUCUGACAUUUCCUUCUAUUUUAGACGUACGAACUUAUCACUGUUAUGUAAUAAGUGUGCUUUAGUUAUUUUGACUACUCUUCUGUAGUCUCACUGUCUAUUACGCUCUGAAUAAUUGUAGUGGGUUCACCCCACGAUUUGCGCACUCUUUCAUUGUUUAGUUCUAAUUAGUUUUAAUUUUAUUCACUUUUUACAUCACUUACCCUUAUGGUUACGUCACCUCACGGUGAUGGCCAGCAUGCUUCAACCUUUCCAGGUCGGGGUGUGUCAAUAUGCCUAGACACUUUGUGUGUAUGAACACUUUUUAUUUUUGUUAAAAAAAAAAAGGAGAGAGAACAUGGGUGGGAGUGGGAGGUUUUUUACUUUUUUAAUAUUAAAUAUAUCUUAACAUCAUCUGUAGAUGAAGCUUUAAUAAAAAAAAGUAAAAUUUGGUGUGUGAAAUUAUAUUAUUACUCAUCAUUUUUUUGGCCUAAUUGGAUAGAUGGUCCUCGUGGUGAUGAGGUUAUCGAAAGAUAGCCCUUGUGGUAAAAAAAUUAGGAUUUAAACCCCCGAGGUGUAGUCCGUUAGCAAAUUUAGUCCACAAGUAACUUUUUCCGUUAGUUGUUCAUUAAAUGUGGGGUAAAAAUGUACUUUUGACGUGUUCUUCUUCCUUGUCUCUCUACGUUUCCUCGUCUAGCUGGGUUGUGAUUUUGUUGGAGGAGUAAGCGAUGGUAAAGGAGGAAGAUCUAGCUGCGCUUUUCUGCAAUGGCUACUUUGCCACUGGAUCAUUGCGAAUUUGGGUUUCUUAGGAUUUUUUUUUUUUUUUGUGAAUAGGAAUUCCAUUAACAAACAGUAGGGAGGCAAUGUGGAAAAUGCAACCUUCGCAAAUGCACUAGAUACAUUGUAUGGUAACAAUAAGUUGGUGUGGAAUAGAAGUCACAAAGCUUAUAAGAAAUGGGGUUGGUCUGAGGACGAUGUUCUCUCUGCUUUUAAGCAGUGCCCAACUUGUAUGAUUAUGUCGGGGCAGAAGCUAAUGUAAACGAUGAAUUUUUUUAAUGAAUAAGAUAGGAUGGUUGUCAGGAAUGAUUGCCAAGUACCCUGUGGUCAUGAACUUGAGUUUGGAGAGGAGACUUAUCCCGAGGUCUUCGGUUGUUAAAGUUUUGUUGUUGAAAGGUUUGAUAAAUGAGAACUUCAAUUUGGGUUCGGUGGUGAUACCUGUGAAGAAGCAGUUCUUGGAGACGUUUGUGAAUAGAUUCGCAAUGAUCCAGAGGCAAAGUAGCCACUGCAGAAAAGUGCAGCUGGAUCUUCCUCCUUUAUCAUCGCUUACUCCCCCAACAAAAUCAAAACCCAGCUAGACGAGGAAACGUAGAGAGACAAGGAAGAAGAACACGUCAAAAGUACAUUUUUACCCUGCAUUUAAUGGACAACUAACGGAAAAAUCACUUGUGGACUAAAUUUGCUAACGGACUAUACCACGAGGGUUUAAAUCCUAAUUUUUUUACCACAAGGGCUAUCUUCCGAUAACCUUAUUACCACGAGGACCAUCUAUCCGAUUAGGCCUUCUUUUUUUUUUUUUUUUUUGAGUGAUUAGAAGACUAAAUAGUCUUUUUACCUUCUUUUGAUUGACAAAGAUGAUUCUAUGAAUAGGUAGUAUAGAUAUAUAUAUAUAUAUAUAUGUUAUUUAUUUCACAAUUGAAUCAAUUUAAGAAAGCGGUAAACCUAAGGACUUAUCAAUAGGUAAUGUUGCUUCAAUACCCAACAACGGCCUAUUACAAAACCAGUAAAUAAAAAUUAAGGUCAUCUCCAAUGAGAGAGUUAAAGGUCUUUAAAGUAAAAAAAUAUGACCUAAUUUGUCAAAAAAUUUAUUUCCAAUCGAUAGAUGGGCUAUAAUUCUAUGGAGCUCAUCAGACCAUUAUUUGGCCAAAGGGGCAUCAGGCUAGCCAAAUAUAGCCCCCCUUUUUAGCCCAUUUACUCUUUAGUUGCAAUAAUUGAUUCAAAUUCCACGGCUAGAUUUGAAAAAAUACAAUGGUGGUUUAACUAAAUUAACCAAUAAUUGUAAAGUAUAAACUCAAAACUAAUAAAUUAUUGAGGGGGUUAUGUUUAGUUCCUUCGGUUGGAGAUGAUAUAUGAGUAUGGUCUGACACGGUUCAUUAAAAAAAAUUAAUUUUUUUUUUUGCAGGGCUAUAUUUAGCCAUUUCAGUUAGAGAUGGUCUAAGGUUGUCGCUAUAAAGGAUUCACUUUAUUGUCAUUUUCAGUUCUAUGCUUCUUCAUGAAGGAAUAAAGUGAUUUUUCAAUAUUAACUUGCAUUUUCACUAAAGAUUUGUUCCAAAAGUAUUUUUACCAAAAACACUUUCAAUCAUUUUAAAAACAGUUCUAAACGAGCCCUAAUUCAUUUUUGUAGAGUUGAAGAGAAACAUCUCAAUACAUGUCUUAUCUUUUUAGAAAUUCAUAUUUGUAGUAAUGAAAUACUACUUUUCCUACCCCAAGUGAUAAAUGAUUGAAUUUUUUUUUUCUUGACAAAUAAUAGUGUUAUUAACUUAGUGGGUUGAAUUGUUAGUUGUUAGUGCAGGGGAGGGGGUGCUAGUGGGGGAGAGGACCGGAAUCGAACUCGCACCAAGAUGUAUAGGCAUCAUUAUUUUCCUCUACUAGGGUAAAAUAUCAUCUACGAUAAAUACUUAAUUACAAGAUGGUAUAUACUCUUUAUAAAUGAACAAAAACUACCUUAUCAUUGGAAAGUACAUUAAUAUAAACACUUUGUAAGAAGAGGUGAUGUAAACAAACGAGUCAAAGUGGAUUGUUCUACACUAGCACAUCCACAUAAUAACUCUACCAGGAUAGAUACAAAAUACGUGCAGAAUCAUCAUAGAUGAACUGAUUGAAAUAACCAACCAAAAUUUGCAGUCAUUAUAUACUGAACAAAAGCAAAGCCCUCGUAUGGGUAGGACAAUAAUAAAAAGCCAUAGAAAACCUUGUAGAUAUUUAAACUAAAAAACAUAUAAUCGUAAUUGUUUGAUUCUCAAGACAUUCUUUGAACCAAUCAUAGUUUUGUUACUUGAGGUACACAUAUCCUAGACAAUAAAAAAGAUCGAGUAAGAAACUAGACCCCCAAAAUGCAGGGGAAACUCAUACAACAAUGAAAUCAUACAACUGACAAAAGGGAAAAAUGAAAACCCGGUAAUCGGGUUUUACGAAAGUUGCUAUCGAGAUGAUCUAUAGAUUCUUAACAAAGAGGCAGAUCCACCGGUGGUUGCUCGACUGACUGCAGUGCCCCAACUCCAUUGUCCACCAAGAACACCAUGGCCAAACCCCAGUUGAUGUGGACAUCCAAGUGACAAUGCAUUAUCCAUGCACCUACAUAUGUCAAAUAUUUAUUUAAAUAUAUAAAAAUCUUAAACACAUUGACACUGAGUCAUAAUUUCAAAAUAGAAUAUUGUCUUGUUUAAAAGUGAAAUUUUUACCUGGAUUGUCAGCGACAAAUCGAAUGACUGCCCAUCCAUUCGCAGGCACUGCCACUGUGUUCCUCAGAGGUGGAUCAAUAAGGUUGAACUUUUUGGUAUCAGUCUGGGCAUUGAAAUUUCCAAAACCCUCAGCAAGGAUGUAAAAAUCGUAUCCGUGAAGAUGGAUAGGAUGGUUUUCUGUGUGACGAUGCUUGUGUCCUGCAGCACAACCUGCACCCUUGAUCCAUACUU